rnacentral:tRNA from 1 species
GCGGCAUUGGCGUAAUUGGUAGCCGCGCCGGAUUUAGGAUCCGGUGAUGAAAAUCGUGCAGGUUCGAUUCCUGUAUGCCGCA